UACGAAAUUAGAAGACUUGUUCUCUAGGUAUCCGAACUCCGAAGUGAAAUGGCACGUACCAAACAAACCGCUCGCAAAUCUACUGGCGGGGAGGGCCCCCCCAAACAACUACUAAGGCUGCAAGAAAGUCUGCACCUACCACUGGUGGAGUCAAGAAGCCUCAUCGUUAUCGCCCUGGUACCGUGGCUCUUCGUGAGAUCCGUAAGUACCAGAAAAGCACUGAACUCUUGAUCCGCAAGCUGCCUUUCCAGCGUCUUGUUCGUGAAAUUGCACAAGACUUCAAAACGGAUUUGAGGUUUCAGAGCCAUGCAGUCCUUGCACUUCAGGAGGCUGCAGAGGCCUACCUUGUUGGUUUGUUUGAGGACACAAAUCUCUGUGCCAUCCAUGCCAAGAGGGUCACUAUCAUGCCUAAGGACAUCCAACUUGCUAGGCGAAUUCGCGGGGAAAGGGCCUAAAUUUUAAUUGCUGUUGGUUCAUUUAGGUCACUGUUCAAUAGCUACUUUCAUUUCUAAUGUGCUAUUCUAAUAUGGAUUACUAUAAGCUGGCAGUCUACUUACUGAAUGUUGUUAAUUUGUAUAAUUUCACUUCUUUGAGAUGACAAUUAUGUUAUCAUUCCCCUAUAUCAUAUUUUCUCUGUUGUUUUAAGCUUUGCUUUCUACUAUUUCAUGUCUGCCUCCUUGACUGGUCUAGUUGUGUGGCAUAGGGC
rnacentral:misc_RNA from 1 species